rnacentral:rRNA from 1 species
AACGAACGCUGGCGGCGCGCCUAAUACAUGCAAGUCGAGCGAGAAGGUGUAGCAAUACACUUGUAAAGCGGCGAACGGGUGAGGAAUGCAUGGGUAACCUACCCUCGAGUGGGGAAUAACUAGCCGAAAGGAUAGCUAAUACCGCAUACGUCCUGAGGGAGAAAGCGGGGGAUCGCAAGACCUCGCGCGAUUGGAGCGGCCGAUAUCGGAUUAGCUAGUUGGUGGGGUAAAGGCUCACCAAGGCGACGAUCCGUAGCGGGUCUGAGAGGACGACCCGCCACACUGGAACUGAGACACGGUCCAGACUCCUACGGGAGGCAGCAGUGGGGAAUUUUGGACAAUGGGGGCGAACCCUGAUCCAGCCAUUCCGCGUGAGUGAAGAAGGCCUCGGUUGGUUAAGUA